GACGAACGCUGGCGGCGUGCCUAACACAUGCAAGUCGAACGAGAAUCUUUGGAAUGAUUCUUUCGGGAUGAAUUCCAAAGAGGAAAGUGGCGGACGGGCGAGUAACGCGUGAGUAACCUGCCCAUAAGAGGGGGAUAAUCCAUGGAAACGUGGACUAAUACCGCAUAUUGUAGUUAAGUUGCAUGACUUGAUUAUGAAAGAUUUAUCGCUUAUGGAUGGACUCGCGUCAGAUUAGGUAGUUGGUGAGGUAACGGCUCACCAAGUCAACGAUCUGUAGCCGAACUGAGAGGUUGAUCGGCCGCAUUGGGACUGAGACACGGCCCAGACUCCUACGGGAGGCAGCAGUGGGGAAUAUUGCGCAAUGGGGGCAACCCUGACGCAGCAACGCCGCGUGCAGGAAGAAGGUCUUCGGAUUGUAAACUGUUGUCGCAAGGGAAGAAGACAGUGACGGUACCUUGUGAGAAAGUCACGGCUAACUACGUGCCAGCAGCCGCGGUAAUACGUAGGUGACAAGCGUUGUCCGGAUUUACUGGGUGUAAAGGGCGCGUAGGCGGACUGUCAAGUCAGUCGUGAAAUACCGGGGCUUAACCCCGGGACUGCGAUUGAAACUGACAGCCUUGAGUAUCGGAGAGGAAAGCGGAAUUCCUAGUGUAGCGGUGAAAUGCGUAGAUAUUAGGAGGAACACCAGUGGCGAAGGCGGCUUUCUGGACGACAACUGACGCUGAGGCGCGAAAGUGUGGGGAGCAAACAGAAUUAGAUACCCUGGUAGUCCACACCGUAAA
rnacentral:rRNA from 1 species